UACGAAGGUGGCAAGCGUUAUUCGGAUUUACUGGGCGUACAGGGAGCGUAGGCGGUUCGGUAAGCCCUUUGUGAAAUCUCCAGGCUUAACCUGGAAAAGUCGGAGGGGACUGCCGGGCUAGAGGACGGGAGAGGUGCGCGGAAUUCCCGGUGUAGCGGUGAAAUGCGUAGAGAUCGGGAGGAAGGCCGGUGGCGAAGGCGGCGCUCUGGAACGUUUCUGACGCUGAGGCGCAAAAGCGUGGGGAGCAAACAGGAUUAGAUACCCUGAUAAUCCACACCUUAAACUAUAAAUGCUAAGUGUCGGCGGUUUACUGCCGGUGCCGCAGCUAACGCAUUAAGUAUUCCGCCUGGGAAGUACGGCCGCAAGGUUG
rnacentral:rRNA from 1 species